GAGGGUAUAGCUCAGUGGUAGAGUUUGCAUUUAGCAUGCACAAGGUCCUGGGUUCAAUCCCCAGUACCUCCA
rnacentral:tRNA from 1 species